rnacentral:lncRNA from 1 species
AUGACUUGGAAAGACAGACAUAUUCAACAGUCACAGCAGACCUGUUGCUCCAUUUCUACAGUUGCAUGGUACAAAGGCAGAAGGCUUUUGCAAGGUCUGCUACACAGUGAAAGGACAGGAAGCAGGCAACCAAAGCUGCAGCCUAUGGGUAGGCAGAUGCCUGUUGCCAGCUUGAUCUCAUCCCUGCAAGCCUCAAAUUUCUGCAGAACUGCAGGACUGUUGCUGAGACGUGAAAGAACAGCAGUUUCUGGCAUGUUUCCUAUUGCUGAAAGGAAGAAGCAAACAAGAACAGAGGUAGUGCAAAUCUUGGAGGACUUAACCUGCCUAGAAUGA